rnacentral:tRNA from 1 species
GCAGCCGUGGCCGAGUGGUUAAGGCGAUGGACUUGAAAUCCAUUGGGGUCUCCCCGCGCAGGUUCGAAUCCUGCCGGCUGCG